CCUACGGGAGGCAGCAGUGGGGAAUAUUGCGCAAUGGCCGAAAGGCUGACGCAGCGACGCCGCGUGGGGGAUGAAGCAUUUCGGUGUGUAAACCCCUGUUGCUCGGGACGAACAACUGGAUUUGUCCAGUCUGACGGUACCGGGUGAGGAAGCACCGGCUAACUCCGUGCCAGCAGCCGCGGUAAUACGGAGGGUGCGAGCGUUGUCCGGAAUCACUGGGCGUAAAGGGCGCGUAGGCGGUCUGCUAAGCGUGUGGUGAAAGCUCGGGGCUCAACCCCGAGUCUGCCAUGCGAACUGGUGGACUAGAGCACUGUAGAGGCAGGUGGAAUUCCGGGUGUAGCGGUGGAAUGCGUAGAGAUCCGGAAGAACACCGGUGGCGAAGGCGGCCUGCUGGGCAGUAGCUGACGCUGAGGCGCGACAGCGUGGGGAGCAAACAGGAUUAGACUACCCGUGGUACGUCCGACGCCGUAAACGAGUGGGGACUAGGUGCGUUGGGGGACGCCGGACCCCGUCGAGUGCCGGCGCGUACGCAUAACGUCCCCGCCGUCGGGUACGGUACGGCCGCGACGGCGUACGAACGUUAAACGGUAAGUUAGACGGCGUCGAGACGUCGCCGACGGACGACCGACGAGGGAGGAGG
rnacentral:rRNA from 1 species